rnacentral:piRNA from 2 species
GCUCAGUUGGUAGAGCGGAGGACUGUAG